ensembl:lncRNA
CAGCUAUAAUCAAAAGUACAUAGUGUACUUUGUCUUUGACUAACAUAAAUAGUUGUCAGGAUGGACUCCAAUAGAGCUCUCCAUGUUAUUUUGACUCCAGCACAAUGGAAGUGGGUGAUCAGUGGGUUUCCACUGGAGUAUGAAGAUAAUAUCCUCCAACUAGACCAAGCCUUUGAUGCUGAGGUCCACAGAAUAAUGCUAAAAAAUGCUGUGUCCUGGGACAGCUCCCAUCUUCAGGUGGCUCUGACUCUUGGUUUUCGGCCUCGUGCCUAACACAACUCACCCGAGGCAUGAUGAUAUCCCAGCAUAACACAAACCUUGUCAUGUCUUAUUGCUUAAAUAACACAAUAAGGAAAUUAAACGGCUUCCUGGUUAUGAUUUUCAUUGUUAGGGCUUAUGAAGUCUUGAAGAAUUUCAGGAAAUUGAUUACCCCGGGAGGGGUGGUGGGGGUGGUUGGUACCUAUGGCUGGAAAAAAAAGAAAAACACAUAUAAAAAGAAACGCUCUGAGUAAACUCCUUUGAAAUUCAUACAAAAUACGUAGACUCGUCCAUCUCCGCAGAUCACACUCGGACCGUGCGUGCCGCCGCCGGGUACCGGAGCGGGGCCGGACGGAUCAGCGUGGGCUGAAUGCCCUCUACCGGGGGAACCCGGAGGUUACCCACAGCCGCACCAUCGUGGUAAUUAAACGAACAAGGAAAAAGAGACAGAUUAAUUGAUUGAACUGGUUCCAGGAGAAACCAUUAGUCCUGUUCCUCUUCUGCUCUAUAUGGUGUUUAAACAACUCUGAAAUGGAGCCCGGUGAAUCCUGCCAACAUAUUUCUCCUGGAUAACUGUUCACCUCAAGAAUGUGCUGCAGAUCCUCUGCCCUCCCAGGAAGACCUACAUGUUUGGAGAAAGCACUGUGAUUUGAAAUCUGUGAGGAAGACCACAAAAGGCAGAUGAGGAUGGUAAAGAAAUAAUUGAAGGAAGAAGAGUUUCUUGCCAUUCUUUCACCCAAGAUGCAGCUGUGUAUACACAUAAUAUAUACUAAAAUCUCAGUUUUAAGAAAUAUCAAGCUUCCUUUACUAAUGAUGUAGAAAAUGAGAUUUAAAAAGCGAGUAUUUUACAGCAUGUGAAUGUCUUAUAUAGUUGUCUAUAAAAUGUGACCAGAGAGUUACACAAACUUAGUAUGGGUCUGAGCUGAAGGGAAGAAAACAUGGUUUAAGUCUGGGAUGUGCUAAUGUGAAUGUAAGUCACAAGAGGUGUUAUUUUACUAUCUAAGAAAUGAUUUUUUUUGCAGUGUCAUCCCAGACACACCUGUUUGAGAAUGACAUAGCCAAAGAGAAGAAAGCCCAAGAGGAGAGUCCUGUGGUCAGUCCAUAACCAUCCAUCUCUGACACCCCUCCAUGUCUACUCUCAGCCCCCCCUCCACAUGGGUCCCUCCCACACCAUCCUUCCUGACUCCCAGUGGGCUUCCCACAGCCUGCAGCUCUCCCAGAACAACCCCAACAUGGCUCCAUGCCAUGGGGCACUGCUGGGCUCUGCUCACUAGAGGAUUCUCCUGCAGCUCCUCUGCUAUCAGAACCUCACCAUGUAAGAGCAAUACACCUUGGCACACUCCUGGGCCUGGCCAUGGCAUUGGAGCUAUGUGAUGAAGCAAUCAGUUCUCUUAAGUGCUUAUUCACUAGCAAACCCAUGAAGUCUCUGGUGACACCCAACAGUCAGGUUUCUUUAAUUAAACAUUUUGAAGGUUUCUGAUUUGUAGCAAAUACGUGUUUAUUAAUAUCUUUUCGUAUUUAUCUCCAUAAGAAGAUUGAAAAGAAGUAUUUUACUUGUUUUGUUUUUUCUUCUCUGAAGAAAAAUAAACAUAGAAGAUGUGUCUGUCUCCCUCUCCCCAAAUAAAUAAGUCUCUGUAUUUUUCACUGAAGGCCACCAUUGCCUGACCACCCAGCCCCACUGAUUGGCCUCAAGUGGGAAGGCAUCAUGGUAGCUGGCACUGUGUGGCAGGUGAGCAGAGAAGGUGUGGGUGCUCCAUUCCUGGAGGCAUUCAAGCCCAGGCUGGAUGGGCUGCCCUAAGCAGCCUGAGCUGGUAGAGGACAGCCAUGCCCAUGGCAGGGGGUUGGAACUGGGUGGGCUUUGGUAUCCCUCCCAGCUCUAGCCAUUCUAUGAUUCUAUGAAUUAAAAAGUGCAUUUUGGAAGUAGCUGGUAGCUUUGUGACUAUCUGCGUACAUGAGAGCUAAUAAAAUUAUUGUCACUCAGCAGCACUUGAUUGCAACCUAAUGGCUAGAACAGUUUUUCAGCCAAGAAGCAGGGAAAAAUGCCUCCUGGCAGAGCACAACUACAUACAUGGGGAAAAUAGUUGUUAUUUCAGGUGCUUAGGUUCCCAGUAGAAAAUAAGUUUAAUUAAUUUAUUUAUUUUUCUAAUUUGUGAAAAUAUGCCUACAGUGACCUCUAGGAACACGUGCAAAAGCCAUAAAACCAGAUUCAUUCAUUAACCAUCUGACACAAUGUCAAUCGUAGAUAGUCAAAUAAACAACUAACACGUGAGGAAAACUCAAACUCCUCCCUUCCAACUCUCCAUAGGAAAAAGCCUUAGAGAGUGAACACGCUUGGCAGCGUGCCUUGGGCUCCUCACUCAGUGCCUUUUUUGGGUGACAGAGAGAAUGGAGUCUGAACCGCAGCGAUGAACACUCUCAUUGCUGUUUUAUAUUCAUGCCUUUCAAUUAAAAUCCAUAAAUGUUUAUACUUUUUUCCAUUUUUUUUUCUUUUUAAUGUGUUACAUGGGAAAUAGGAAUGAGUUACAAAAAUGAAUAUGUAAAGCGUUUUCAUCUCUGCGAUGGGCAGAGAGCUGCAAAUUAGGGUUUCUGGCUCCUCCUCCAACCUCUGCCACUCUUCUGCUCUCUGAUCCUGGGGCAGCUACUCAUCCAGUGUGGUUGGAUGUGCAAAAUUCACUACACUGGGCUUGCCAGCUCCUUGUAACUCAGCCUACUGCUCUUUUGCUAAUCUUUGAAAUUCUCUUCUUGCUGUAGGAUGCUUUUAACAGUGAAACUAUUUGAGGAAAAGUCAGGUCCACUUCAGUAAUGGAAUGAAAAAAGUAAUGGAAGGAGCCCAGGCUCUCCUUGAAGCAGCAGGGAGUAUCAGCCUCCCAUGGCCAAGUGACAGCAGCACUGAGAUCUUGGUGCUUCACACCUUUUCCAACACUUCCAUGUGAUUGCAGUGACUUUGCCCUUGCCGGUGCCUUCAGUCCCUGAAGGAAGUACCUAUCUGAACCUGAAGUGCUGUCUUUGCUGUGAUGCCACCAGCAACUACAGUUUUCCUCCUGCAAAAACCUCCUUAUGCAUUAUGAAACAAUAUGUGUUAUGUUUUGCUUUAUAAAUAAUCAGUUUUUGCAAACUUAUAUAUCAUCUGUGUGACAAACACUUUGUUCCAUGGUAAUGAAUACAAGUCUGUGUCCAAACAUCACGUUUAAACACCAAAAAAAAAAAAAAAAAAAAAAAAAAAAUCCUUUGAGGCUACAUCUUCAUGUUCAACAGAUGAGGUUCUGUUCAACCUGGAGCUCUGUGACUGUGAUGAACACAGAACAGCACAGGAGUAAAUCUUCCCUCUACUUUGCCCCCCCCCCCCCCCGGGACAAUGUUUUCUAGAAAAGAUCAGACGGUGUUUUAAUGCCUGGGGAAAAACAGAACGUGACCCACAGUAUAUUUAGGCAGUUCCAUUUCUGCUUGCUAUUUUUAAAAGCAUAUGCGUUAUUUAAAAAUAAUUAGCUUGAGCCCAUUUAUGUACAAUGUAUAUAUUGCACAUAUGUCUAUACAGAACAAGAAACAAUGUAAUCACAACCUUACUACACUAAAGGUCUUGGCAUAAGAAACACAGACAGUGAAAGCCAAAGAGAUUUUACCUGUCAUAUGUAUUUCCCUCAUUUAAAUAUAUUAAAACAGAACAAAAAUAAACUUCUGAUGCUCAGAGUUUAACCCAGUGUAACAUAGUAGUUAUUUCAGUCUUUACUACAACAAUUAUUGAUAUUCUAUAUGUUCAUGUGCAGUAAAACGUGAGACAGAAAUCUCGAUGACUUAUUGUUCUGCAACUUCAAAUUUCAUCUGUUGUUUGUGGAAAGAAAAGAUAUCUUCAGAUAUGUACACACAUUUUUCUCUAAAUGUCUCUGCAUGGCAAGUAAGGCUGUAUGGGGCGAAAGGGCGACAGCAGGUUUUACUCUGCAAAUGUGAGCAUGUGCAUCUGCAGUCUUCUGUCCCUUUAAAAUUUAAUUAC